rnacentral:lncRNA from 1 species
CUCUCUCUCUUCUCUCUCUCUUCUCUCUCUCUAUCAACAGAUCCAAAAUUUCAGACACCUCGCCUUGAAUACCUGAUGUUAUUUCAAAUUUCAAAUCCCUCAACAAAACCACACCUCCGACCUUCUGCUAUCUGCUGGAGAUCAAACAUCACCACCGUCCCCAGUCCUCACCAGCAAGAUCAGAUAGAAAUAGCAUGGCCAAGAAAAAUGUCGAUGGAUUUUUAGGGCUUCGUGUUAAAAUCCCCUGUCGUGUUCUAAGUGCCAGAUUUAGGGUUUCGGUGAGGUUUUGGCCUCCUUGAUUUCGCGUUGCAUUUUACAUCGAUGUUUAGAUCCGUCUCUCGCGAGUUCGUUCCACAAGUUGAAAUUCUGAUGACAAGAUUGGGACAUCUUCAGCGAGAUUAUCGGGAAGACCAAUGUUGUGACCACACCUAGAGUGGUUCGGACCUGCUGGUAAUGGGUUUGUUAGGGUCAGUGCCUUUGAAUUUGCAGGUUUUUGACUUUAAUCGUUUCGACAGAGGUUGCAUGCUAUCUCAUAUUUGUGGUUCUUGACUUUAAUCAUUUUGACUUUAUUUGGUGCAUGUUUUAACUUUCGUUAAUAAUAUCAUCAGGAUGGGGUGUUCAGGAUUGACUGUUUGGAAUUAGAGAACAAAGAGGGCUUUGAUUAAAUUAGAAGACAGUGACUCUAAUGAGACGAUCAAGCAAAUUAUGUCAUUCACAUUGAUAGAAAAGGGUGCAAUUUUGAGGGAAAUACUUCUUCAAGGCUCAAGCAUCCGUUAACUAAAUACAUUGGGGCCUGAAUUUUCCUUGGUUUCAUAAAAUGUAUAAAAGAUAGUAGAGGGCCAGUUUGAGUUAUCCAGAAAUAUGUACAAGCCUACGCCUCUGGUUGAAGAGUAAGCAACUUUUGAGACUUUCCUCAUGUGGUGAUUAUCUAAUGAACAUAUCCCAGGGCAUCUUUGAGCAUCAUAUUAUGGAAACUGUUACAGCUGCAGGUAAGUCUAAAUUUCGCCGAAAUUACCAAGGAAACGACUUGGCCCCCUUUAUACUUUCCAGUUUUAAAGGCAAGAGAAGUGUUCUAAAGGUAAAACACUGCACGGAUGCUAUGAUUCUGGAAACAUCAAAUAAGUUUCUUACUGGGUGGAUCGUUAGGAGGGAUAUGGUUGGGUUGAAUAUGGAGUCAUAGUGCAGCUAUGUUAGUCUGAUGUAUAAUUAGUUUAUUUUUUAAUUCGGAGAUAUUUUGUGAGUGGCUUGCUAAGUUCUGUUUUGGUGUUUAUAUAUUUCUUUCUUUGGCUGGGCAAAAACAUGGAUGAAGGAAAGUCGAAGUCAUCACUGUAACCUUUUUUCCAUUCCCAUGUAUUGAUGACAUGAAUAUUUUAUUAAGAAGGAAGAACUUUUUUUAUAAUAGUUAAAUAGAU